rnacentral:rRNA from 1 species
CACGUAGGGCGCAAGCGUUGUCCGGAAUUAUUGGGCGUAAAGAGCUCGUAGGCGGUCUGUUGCGUCCGCUGUGAAAACCCGGGGCUUAACCCUGGGCUGGCAGUGGAUACGGACAGACUAGAGGUAGGUAGGGGAGAAUGGAAUUCCCGGUGUAGCGGUGAAAUGCGCAGAUAUCAGGAGGAACACCGGUGGCGAAGGCGGGUCUCUGGGCAGUAACUGACGCUGAGGAGCGAAAGCAUGGGGAGCGAACAGG